rnacentral:rRNA from 1 species
GACGAACGCUGGCGGCGUGCUUAACACAUGCAAGUCGAACGGAAAGGCCCUGCUUUUGUGGGGUGCUCGAGUGGCGAACGGGUGAGUAACACGUGAGUAACCUGCCCUUGACUUUGGGAUAACUUCAGGAAACUGGGGCUAAUACCGGAUAGGAGCUCCUGCUGCAUGGUGGGGGUUGGAAAGUUUCGGCGGUUGGGGAUGGACUCGCGGCUUAUCAGCUUGUUGGUGGGGUAGUGGCUUACCAAGGCUUUGACGGGUAGCCGGCCUGAGAGGGUGACCGGCCACAUUGGGACUGAGAUACGGCCCAGACUCCUACGGGAGGCAGCAGUGGGGAAUAUUGCACAAUGGGCGGAAGCCUGAUGCAGCAACGCCGCGUGCGGGGUGACGGCCUUCGGGUUGUAAACCGCUUUCGCCUGUGACGAAGCGUGAGUGACGGUAAUGGGUAAAGAAGCACCGGCUAACUACGUG